AGAUUUUCGGGAUUUCGUAGGUGACCUGCGGAAGGAUCAUUACCGAGUGCGGGUUCGACACGAGCCCCACCUCCCACCCGUGUCUACCGUUACCGCGUUGCCUCGGCGGGCCCACUGGGGCCUGGCCCCGGUCACCGGGGGGCUGCUGCCCCCGGGCCCGCGCCCGCCGAAGCGCCCUGGAACCCUGUCUGAAUAGUGAGUCUGAGUGCAUGAUUGAAUCAUUAAAACUUUCAACAACGGAUCUCUUGGUUCCGGCAUCGAUGAAGAGCGCAGCGAAAUGCGAUAAGUAAUGUGAAUUGCAGAAUUCCGUGAAUCAUCGAAUCUUUGAACGCACAUUGCGCCCCCUGGCAUUCCGGGGGGCAUGCCUGUCCGAGCGUCAUUUCUGCCCUCCAGCGCGGCUGGGUGUUGGGACGUGCUGACAAAUGCCCCAAGAGAUACCUACAUGCGCGACUGCCGAUGGGAUCUGUCCCGUUACGAUAGGAGAGUGAUCGACCUAGUUGUUGUGAUCUGUUCAUUGCUG
rnacentral:sRNA from 1 species